rnacentral:rRNA from 1 species
GACGAACGCUGGCGGCGUGCUUAACACAUGCAAGUCGUACGGUAAGGCCCUUUCGGGGGUACACGAGUGGCGAACGGGUGAGUAACAUGUGAGUAACCUGCCCACAACUUUGGGAUAACGCUAGGAAACUGGUGCUAAUACUGGAUAUGUGCUCCUGCUGCAUGGUGGGGGUUGGAAAGCUCCGGCGGUUGUGGAUGGACUCGCGGCCUAUCAGCUUGUUGGUGGGGUAGUGGCCUACCAAGGCGGCGACGGGUAGCCGGCCUGAGAGGGUGACCGGCCACAUUGGGACUGAGAUACGGCCCAGACUCCUACGGGAGGCAGCAGUGGGGAAUAUUGCACAAUGGGCGCAAGCCUGAUGCAGCAACGCCGCGUGCGGGAUGACGGCCUUCGGGUUGUAAACCGCUUUCAGCAGGGACGAAGCUUUUUGUGACGGUACCUGCAGAAGAAGCACCGGCUAACUACGUG